AGAGUUUGAUCAUGGCUCAGGAUGAACGCUGGCGGCGUGCAUAACACACUCAAGUCGAACGGGGCAGCAAUGCCUAGUGGCGGACGGGUGAGUAACGCGUGAGCAACCUGCCCUUGCGUGGGGGAUACCAUCUGGAAACGGAUGUUAAUACCGCAUAAAGUACAAGCGACCGCAUGGUCGUAGUACCAAAGAUUUAUUGCGCAAGGAUGGGCUCGCGUCCCAUUAGAUAGUUGGUGAGGUAACGGCCCACCAAGUCAGCGAUGGGUAGCCGGACUGAGAGGUUGAACGGCCACAUUGGAACUGGGAUACGGUCCAGACUCCUACGGGAGGCAGCAGUGGGGAAUAUUGGGCAAUGGGCGAAAGCCUGACCCAGCGACGCCGCGUGAAGGAAGAAGGUCUUCGGAUUGUAAACUUCUGUUAUGGGGGACGAACACAUGACGGUACCCCAUGAGAAAGCCACGGCUAACUACGUGCCAGCAGCCGCGGUAAUACGUAGGUGGCGAGCGUUAUCCGGAUUUACUGGGUGUAAAGGGUGUGUAGGCGGGACUGCAAGUCAGAUGUGAAAACUAUGGGCUCAACUCAUAGCUUGCAUUUGAAACUGUGGUUCUUGAGGGUCGGAGAGGUAACUGGAAUUCCCGGUGUAGCGGUGAAAUGCGUAGAUAUCGGGAGGAACACCAGUGGCGAAGGCGGCCUACUGGGCACCAACUGACGCUGAGGCUCGAAAGUGUGGGUAGCAAACAGGAUUAGAUACCCUGGUAGUCCACACCGUAAACGAUGAUUACUAGGUGUUGGAGGAUUGACCCCUUCAGUGCCGCAGUUAACACAAUAAGUAAUCCACCUGGGGAGUACGACCGCAAGGUUGAAACUCAAAGGAAUUGACGGGGGCCCGCACAAGCAGUGGAGUAUGUGGUUUAAUUCGACGCAACGCGAAGAACCUUACCAAGUCUUGACAUCCCUUGACGAUGCUGGAAACAGUGUUUCUCUUCGGAGCAAGGAGACAGGUGGUGCAUGGUUGUCGUCAGCUCGUGUCGUGAGAUGUUGGGUUAAGUCCCGCAACGAGCGCAACCCUUAUGGUCAGUUACUACGCAAGAGGACUCUGGCCAGACUGCCGUUGACAAAACGGAGGAAGGUGGGGAUGACGUCAAAUCAUCAUGCCCUUUAUGACUUGGGCUACACACGUACUACAAUGGCGUUAAACAAAGAGAAGCAAGACCGCGAGGUGGAGCAAUACUCAGAAACAACGUCCCAGUUCGGACUGCAGGCUGCAACUCGCCUGCACGAAGUCGGAAUUGCUAGUAAUCGUGGAUCAGCAUGCCACGGUGAAUACGUUCCCGGGCCUUGUACACACCGCCCGUCACACCAUGAGAGCCGGGGGGACCCGAAGUCGGUAGUCUAACCGCAAGGAGGACGCCGCCGAAGGUAAAACUGGUGAUUGGGGUGAAGUCGUAACAAGGU
rnacentral:rRNA from 1 species